GGUCGGGUGGCCUAAUGGUUUAAGGCAUUGCUUUCCGGUUGUUCCUGGUUCUGGCAAAGAUUGCGGGUUCGAGUCCCGUCCUGAUCG